AUUGAACGCUGGCGGCAGGCUUAACAAAUGCAAGUCGAGCGAGUGGCGGACGGUUAAGUAAUGUCUGGGAAACUGCCUGAUGGAGGGGGCUAACUACUGGAAACGGUAGCUAAUACCGCAUCCCAUCAGGUGGGCCCAGAUGGGAUUGGCUAGUAGGUGGGGUAAUGGCUCACCUGGGCGACGAUCCCUAGCUGGUCUGAGAGGAUGACCAGCCACACUGGACCUGAGACACGGUCCAGACUCCUACGGGAGGCAGCAGUGGGGAAUAUUGCACAAUGGGCGCAAGCCUGAUGCAGCCAUGCCGCGUGUGUGAAGAAGGCCUUCGGGUGGUAAAGUACUUUCAGCGGGGAGGCGUUACCCGCAGAAGAAGCACCGGCUAACUCCGUGCCAGCAGCCGCGGUAAUUC
rnacentral:rRNA from 1 species